rnacentral:rRNA from 1 species
CAAUAGCGUAUAUUAAAGUUGUUGCGGUUAAAAAGCUCGUAGUUGGAUUUCUGCUGAGAACGACCGGUCCGCCCUUUGGGUGUGUAUCUGGCUCUUUCUUGGCAUCUUCUUGGUGAACGUUGCUGCACUUGACUGUGUGGAGCGCUACCCAGGACUUUUACUUUGAGGAAAUUAGAGUGUUUCAAGCAGGCAUACGCCUUGAAUACAUUAGCAUGGAAUAAUAAGAUAGGACCUCGGUUCUAUUUUGUUGGUUUCUAGAGCUGAGGUAAUGAUUAAUAGGGAUAGUUGGGGGCAUUCGUAUUUAACUGUCAGAGGUGAAAUUCUUGGAUUUGUAAAAGACGGACUACUGCGAAAGCAUUUGCCAAGGAUGUUUUCAUUG